GCAUUCACUUUGGUAGCACACACACUAAAAUUGGGAUGAUACAGAGAAUAUUAACAUGGCUACUACACAAAUGUGGCAUGCAAAUUCAUGCAGCAUUUAU
rnacentral:snRNA from 1 species